GAUGAACGCUGGCGGCGUGCCUAAUACAUGCAAGUCGAGCGAACGGACGAGAAGCUUGCUUCUCUGAUGUUAGCGGCGGACGGGUGAGUAACACGUGGAUAACCUACCUAUAAGACUGGGAUAACUUCGGGAAACCGGAGCUAAUACCGAAUAAUAUUUUGAACCGCUUGGUUCAAAAGUGAAAGACGGUCUUGCAGUCACUUAUAGAUGGAUCCGCGCUGCAUUAGCUAGUUGGUAAGUUAACGGCUUACCAAGGCAACGAUGCAUAGCCGACCUGAGAGGGUGAACGCCCCCCCUGUCACUUAGCCACGCUCCAGACUCCUACGGGAGGCAGCGGCAGGGAAUCUUGCGCAAUGGGCGAAAGCCUGACGAAGCAACGGCGAGUGAAUCAUGAUGGUCUUCGGAUCGUAAAACUCUGUUAGUAGGGAAGAACAUAUGUGUACGUGACUGUGCACAUAUUGACGGUACCUAAUCAGAAAGCCACGGCUAACUACGUG
rnacentral:rRNA from 1 species